CUCCCUCCCUCCCGCCUUUCCAGGGGCUCCUGAGCGCCCUCCCUCCCUCCUUCCCCGCCUCCUCCGUUUCUCCCUGCCCCCCCGCUCCCUCCCGCCGCGUCUCCCCCGCCAUGGCGAGCACGGACGCGCUGGAGGAGCGUGUCAUCAGCGGGGAGUACAAGAUCUGGAAGAAAAACAGCCCCUUCUUGUACGACCUGCUGCUGACGCGCGCCCUGGAGUGGCCCAGCCUCACGGUGCAGUGGCUGCCUGAUGUCAGCAGGCCAGAAGGAAAGGAUUAUGCUCUGCACUGGCUGCUUUUGGGAACACACACGUCUGAUGAACAGAAUCACCUGGUUGUUGCUAGAGUCCAGAUUCCCAACAAUUAUCAGUUUGAUUCUUUGAAGUCUGACAGUGAGAAAGGAGAACUUGGUGGCUUUGGAUCUGUGACUGGCAAAGUUGAGACGGAGAUUAAAAUUAACCAUGAGGGUGAAGUGAACCGUGCCCGUUACAUGCCGCAGAAUCCCCGCAUCGUCGCGACAAAAACACCCUCUGCUGAUGUGCUGGUGUUUGACUGCACUAAACAUCCUUCAGAACCAGGUCCAAGUGGGGAGUGUAAUCCUGAAUUUAGAUUAAGAGGCCACCAGAAGGAAGGCUAUGGCUUAUCAUGGAACUCAAAUUUGAGUGGACAUCUUCUCAGUGCAUCAGAUGAUCAUACAGUGUGUUUAUGGGAUGUAAGUGCUGGACCCAAAGAGGGCAAGAUUGUUGAUGCCAAAGCCAUCUUCACUGGGCUCUCUGCAGUAGUGGAAGAUGUGGCAUGGCACCUGCUCCAUGAGUCUCUCUUUGGAUCUGUGGCAGAUGAUCAGAAGCUUAUGAUCUGGGACACAAGAUCUAAUGCCACGUCCAAGCUGAGUCACUCAGCAGAUGCUCACACAGCCGAGGUGAACUGUCUGUCCUUCAGUCCCUACAGCGAGUUCAUUCUGGCAACUGGCUCUGCUGACAAGACGGUGGCUCUGUGGGAUCUUCGAAACUUAAAGCUGAAACUCCAUUCUUUUGAGUCUCAUGAGGAUGAGAUUUUUCAGGUUUACCGGUCUCCUCAUAAUGAAACCAUUCUUGCUUCAAGUGGUACCGAUCGUCGCCUGCACGUGUGGGAUCUGAGUAAAAUUGGAGAAGAGCAGUCAGCAGAGGAUGCAGAAGAUGGGCCUCCUGAGCUGCUGGUACCCUUCUGUUCAGUUUAUUCAUGGAGGACACACUGCCAAAAUUUCAGACUUCAGUUGGAAUCCUAAUGAGCCUUGGGUAAUCUGUUCUGUAUCAGAGGACAGCAUAAUGCAGAUAUGGCAGAUGGCAGAAAACAUUUACAGUGAUGAAGAGCCAGAUAUAACAGCAGCUGAACUGGAAGCUCAAGGAAUGUAACUUUUCUUCUUUAAGGAACUAGAGGGAAUGACAUAGUAAUGUAAUUUGACUACUGUAUACAUAAAAUAAAGUCCUGAAAAAAACACAGAAAACCAAAUACCAAACCAAAGAACCCCAGAAUCACUGGGCAGAAGCCUUGCAUCAAAACAGGAAUACUCCUAAUUGGAUUAAGCAAAAAGCUUGUAUAAUCAAGUUGUCAUGGGAUACUCUUGGUUCUGUGGGCACUUUGAGCUGUUGUAUACUGUACAGCAGUUAGCUUUAGAGAAACUGACAAUGACUAAAUACCUGUGUCUAUAUUUUUAAAUAAACUUUGUGUGUUCUGUAAAUAAAAUGGUGAAAUCCUCACUUUUCACACAUAGAAA